rnacentral:rRNA from 1 species
CAGUAGCCGCGGUAAAACGUAGGGUGCAAGCGUUAAUCGGAAUUACUGGGCGUAAAGCGUGCGCAGGCGGUUAUAUAAGUCAGAUGUGAAAUCCCCGGGCUCAACCUGGGAACUGCAUUUGAGACUGUAUGGCUAGAGUGUGUCAGAGGGGGGUAGAAUUCCACGUGUAGCAGUGAAAUGCGUAGAUAUGUGGAGGAAUACCGAUGGCGAAGGCAGCCCCCUGGGAUAACACUGACGCUCAUGCACGAAAGCGUGGGGAGCAAACAGGAUUAGAUACCCGCGUAGUCCCUGUCUCUUAUAC